rnacentral:rRNA from 1 species
AAUACCCUAUUAUUUUAAAAGAAAUUUAUAGUACUUAAUUAGUAGUAGUUAAGGUCUUGAAAAUUAAAGAAUCUGGCGGUAUUUUAGUCUAUUCAGAGGAAUCUGUCCUAUAAUUGAUGAUCCACGAUUUUUAUUACCUAUUUUAGUAAUUUACAUAUCGCCGUAGUUUGAGUAUUUUUUAAAAAUAUUAAUAUUCAUGAUUUAUUUUAAUAAAAAAAAUCAGGUCAAGGUGUAGUUUAUAGAUAGGGAGAGAUGGAUUACAAUAAAAGUAUUUAUAAUGGAUUAAUUAAUUAAAUAUUUUUUAUGAAAGUGGAUUUGAUAGUAAUUUUAUUUA